GCUGGCGGCAGGCUUAACACAUGCAAGUCGAGCGGAGAGAGGUAGCUUGCUACUGAUCUUAGCGGCGGACGGGUGAGUAAUGCUUAGGAAUCUGCCUAUUAGUGGGGGACAACAUCUCGAAAGGGAUGCUAAUACCGCAUACGUCCUACGGGAGAAAGCAGGGGGUCUUCGGACCUUGCGCUAAUAGAUGAGCCUAAGUCGGAUUAGCUAGUUGGUGGGGUAAAGGCCUACCAAGGCGACGAUCUGUAGCGGGUCUGAGAGGAUGAUCCGCCACACUGGGACUGAGACACGGCCCAGACUCCUACGGGAGGCAGCAGUGGGGAAUAUUGGACAAUGGGGGGAACCCUGAUCCAGCCAUGCCGCGUGUGUGAAGAAGGCCUUAUGGUUGUAAAGCACUUUAAGCGAGGAGGAGGCUACUUUAGUUAAUACCUAGAGAUAGUGGACGUUACUCGCAGAAUAAGCACCGGCUAACUCUGUGCCAGCAGCCGCGGUAAUACAGAGGGUGCAAGCGUUAAUCGGAUUUACUGGGCGUAAAGCGCGCGUAGGCGGCUAAUUAAGUCAAAUGUGAAAUCCCCGAGCUUAACUUGGGAAUUGCAUUCGAUACUGGUUAGCUAGAGUGUGGGAGAGGAUGGUAGAAUUCCAGGUGUAGCGGUGAAAUGCGUAGAGAUCUGGAGGAAUACCGAUGGCGAAGGCAGCCAUCUGGCCUAACACUGACGCUGAGGUGCGAAAGCAUGGGGAGCAAACAGGAUUAGAUACCCUGGUAGUCCAUGCCGUAAACGAUGUCUACUAGCCGUUGGGGCCUUUGGGGCUUUAGUGGCGCAGCUAACGCGAUAAGUAGACCGCCUGGGGAGUACGGUCGCAAGACUAAAACUCAAAUGAAUUGACGGGGGCCCGCACAAGCGGUGGAGCAUGUGGUUUAAUUCGAUGCAACGCGAAGAACCUUACCUGGCCUUGACAUAGUAAGAACUUUCCAGAGAUGGAUUGGUGCCUUCGGGAACUUACAUACAGGUGCUGCAUGGCUGUCGUCAGCUCGUGUCGUGAGAUGUUGGGUUAAGUCCCGCAACGAGCGCAACCCUUUUCCUUAUUUGCCAGCGAGUAAUGUCGGGAACUUUAAGGAUACUGCCAGUGACAAACUGGAGGAAGGCGGGGACGACGUCAAGUCAUCAUGGCCCUUACGGCCAGGGCUACACACGUGCUACAAUGGUCGGUACAAAGGGUUGCUACACAGCGAUGUGAUGCUAAUCUCAAAAAGCCGAUCGUAGUCCGGAUUGGAGUCUGCAACUCGACUCCAUGAAGUCGGAAUCGCUAGUAAUCGCGGAUCAGAAUGCCGCG
rnacentral:rRNA from 1 species